rnacentral:rRNA from 1 species
AUUGAACGCUGGCGGCAGGCCUAACACAUGCAAGUCGAGCGGAUGAAGGGAGCUUGCUCCUGGAUUCAGCGGCGGACGGGUGAGUAAUGCCUAGGAAUCUGCCUGGUAGUGGGGGAUAACGUCCGGAAACGGGCGCUAAUACCGCAUACGUCCUGAGGGGGAAAGUGGGGGAUCUUCGGACCUCACGCUAUCAGAUGAGCCUAGGUCGGAUUAGCUAGUUGGUGGGGUAAAGGCCUACCAAGGCGACGAUCCGUAACUGGUCUGAGAGGAUGAUCAGUCACACUAGAACUGAGACACGGUCCAGGCUCCUACGGGAGGCAGCAGUGGGGAAUAUUGGACAAUGGGCGAAAGCCUGAACCAACCAUGCCGCGUGUGUGAAGAAGGUCUUCGGAUUGUAAAGCACUUUAAGUUGGGAGGAAGGGCAGUAAGUUAAUACCUUGCUGUUUUGACGUUAGCAACAGAAUAAGCACCGGCUAACUUCGUG